UGACGAGCUGCUCUGCGUGGAGUGUGCUGAGACAGUAAACCGUGCCUGGCGUCGUCUGCAGCUCCAGCUGCUCAGCAAGCGUGGAGCUGUGUCCUGCUGGUGGGUCUCCGUCACCAGCAGGUGAAAGGAGAAGGCCGUUGGCUCUGGAGGGCCUGGGUCCCUGAAGUCAGGAGAGCCUGAAACCUCAGCUGCUGCUGCUUUGCCAAAUACACAUCCUGAAAAUACCGAUGGUUCUGGAAUCAGGGUCUUCUCAGCAGGUUAUUGGGUGUCAGCCUAUGAGAAACCAUAGUGUCGUUCAUCACCCUGUUCCCCUCCUGCGCUGUAAACCUUGGCUCUCCAAGAGCGGAUGACAGACAGGGGUGGCCUCGUGAGAGAGAAGACCGCGCAAUUGCAUCCAGGCCCGCGGCCCAGACAGCGUCUCCCAGCAUUAACCCCCUCAGACAGCUUUCAGCUCCUUGGGGCAGUGGGCUGGACGCCGAGGAAUUCAAGAGGAGGAGACACUGCUCUUCCCAGUCAGAGAGAAGCAGAUAUCUACUUACAAAUGCUGGACCAUUGUUUCUCUCUACUGGAUAAGAAGUUAAUGUUUUUCUCUGAAGUAUAA
rnacentral:lncRNA from 1 species